rnacentral:rRNA from 1 species
CACUACUGCGGGAGGCAGCAGUGGGGAAUAUUGGACAAUGGGCGCAAGCCUGAUCCAGCCAUGCCGCGUGAGUGAUGAAGGCCCUAGGGUUGUAAAGCUCUUUCACCGGUGAAGAUAAUGACGGUAACCGGAGAAGAAGCCCCGGCUAACUUCGUGCCAGCAGCCGCGGUAAUACGAAGGGGGCUAGCGUUGUUCGGAUUUACUGGGCGUAAAGCGCACGUAGGCGGACUAUUAAGUCAGGGGUGAAAUCCCGGGGCUCAACCCCGGAACUGCCUUUGAUACUGGUAGUCUUGAGUUCGAGAGAGGUGAGUGGAAUUCCGAGUGUAGAGGUGAAAUUCGUAGAUAUUCGGAGGAACACCAGUGGCGAAGGCGGCUCACUGGCUCGAUACUGACGCUGAGGUGCGAAAGCGUGGGGAGCAAACAGGAUUAGAAACCCGGGUAGUCCCAUG